AAGUCGUAACAAGGUUUCCGUAGGUGAACCUGCGGAAGGAUCAUUCACAAAUCGUCGACAAUUUAUUUAGUUAUAUGUGAUAAGGUAAAACUUAUUAUAUGUGAUUAUUUAAGUUGUUGUUUUUAUUCACAAACUCAUCACCAAACCGCGAUAUGUACAACCCUUUUUUAUUUAAAUAACCAAUGCCAAUUUCGGUUGGCGAAGUUUUCCUAUUCUUUCUUUGAUCUUUGGGUAUAUGUAUGUAAAAGUGCAUAUAUUUGGGGGGAUUUGAAUGUCAAUGUGUAAAUUAAGUCCGGAGUAUGGUGGAUUCCAUACAGGCAUGUGUAGAAAUACGUAAUAUAUAUACAACUCUUUGCAAUGGAUAUCUUGGUUCUC
rnacentral:misc_RNA from 1 species